GUCCACCACAACCCACUCAGGGUCUGCCCCCCUGGCUGGCGGCUGCCCCGCCCUGAUGACAGGCCUGCUGGUGGCUGCAGUUCUCCUGGCCAAGGUCGCAUAAUGCCCAUCGCUCAAGCGACCCGUCCUCACCCCCCCACCCUCUCUGCCAGGAAGCCUCCGCAGCUGCCCUCGCGGUGAUGCCGGACACCAUGGACUGUCUGCCCAGCUGACCAGACGGUGCCCCCGGGCCUCAGUGUCCCCUCAGCCCCGGCCCGUGCUCCGUCGUUAUGACGCGGGCAGUCCGGCCCCUGCCCAGGCU